CCUACGGGUGACUGCAGUGGGGAAUAUUGGACAAUGGGCGAAAGCCUGAUCCAGCCAUGCCGCGUGUGUGAAGAAGGCCUUCGGGUUGUAAAGCACUUUCAGUGGGGAAGAAAGCCUUGGGGCUAAUACCCUCGAGGAAGGACAUCACCCACAGAAGAAGCACCGGCUAACUCCGUGCCAGCAGCCGCGGUAAUACGGAGGGUGCGAGCGUUAAUCGGAAUUACUGGGCGUAAAGCGCGCGUAGGCGGUCUGAUAAGCCGGUUGUGAAAGCCCCGGGCUCAACCUGGGAACGGCAUCCGGAACUGUCAGGCUAGAGUGCAGGAGAGGAAGGUAGAAUUCCCGGUGUAGCGGUGAAAUGCGUAGAGAUCGGGAGGAAUACCAGUGGCGAAGGCGGCCUUCUGGACUGACACUGACGCUGAGGUGCGAAAGCGUGGGUAGCAAACAGGAUUAGAUACCCUUGUAGUC
rnacentral:rRNA from 1 species